ensembl:lncRNA
CCCCCCCCCGCGGUGCGACGCAUUGCCCUCAUCUUGCUUACCGACCACCACUGUGCCACAUCCUAAUUUGUUCAAGAGGACAAUAGUAGUAUACAGAAUGCAUUUUUAGAGAUAAUCUUCCGGUGAACUGGAGGUUCCAGUUGAUAGUCAGAUGGGAAUCAUUUCUUCAUUUGUACCAGUUUGGCUGCCGUGUUUGUGCAUAAAGUUUUCAAGGGUUGUGUUUGUCCUCUAGGUGUUCGGAGCUAAAUAUCCAUAAUAGUAUAGCAAGUGUUGCUCCAAAUGAUAGGGCGGAAAAACUGCACACGUAGUGCAAACCGGGAUGGAAUAGCAAAGGAAGAACGUCCUCAAAGGGUCACAAACACAAACGCCGUUACAGAUGCUCACUUUUAGGCCCCGCACCUCUCAACACUUCUGUUAACAGAGUGUUAAUACAAGCGCCUCGGGCAGCAAGUUUAUGCAAAAAGUGAAACGCUGGGAUUUCUCAUUUAAUAAACCUCUCGUUAAACACUGGUGACAACCGGAGACGGGGGAGCAGCAAACAAUGGAGAGACAACGCCCGUUGAAGCUGAUUGCAAUGAAUGGUUCAAACACGGCGGUGUAGAUUCUCGAUUGUUCUUCGCCGAUGAGCAGAAGAUCCAGAAAAACAAAUCAAACGCCCCUAAUUAAGUCUUCGCUCUGCUGGAAUUAUCUCAAGGAAACAGUUGCCUUGACGAGUUGGACUUUCAACAGUCAAGAAACUGGCAGAUGGAAAGCUGCUAGUUCAGCGAAUGCGUCUGGCAGGAGAAGAGAAAUCGGACGGACAAUGGAAGAGGAAGUCGACCAGACGGAACAGCGGGCGUUUGAUUUACAGCUCGUCACCGGAAUGCGUUCGCAGCGGCUCGAUGCUCCUCGAACCGCACCUCCACGUGACGAGAUCUGUGUCUCCUGGCAAGUGUGAACGGGAAAGGAAGGAGGGGAAAAGCUCUGCAGCUUCGACGCUCUGAUGUGAGCACGUGGAAUAAUUCAUAUGAUGCGAAACAAAGUUGUGGACGUCACCCUCAAGACGAUCGUGUGCAUUUGAAAGGCCCGGCGUGUAAGAUUCAGUGGCAUCUGGUGGUGUCUUAUGAAUACAAAAACUCUUUCUAAGGGUGUUUUGAACUACGGUGGCCUGCAGGACGGGUUUCUUUGGAUUUUGGAACUCCUACAAAAAGCGUGUAUCAAUGCUCAAAUUGUCUACAUGACUAAAUAUUUAUUUAUUUAUUUAUACUGCACAACUUGUAUAAGAAUCUUUAAACGGAUACUUUAUUACAUUAUUUGUGACGGUUCUUCAUUUGCCGUGAAAGAAUAUGAAAAAAUUAAAGAAUCUUGAAGAUUUUGAGGUAUUCUUUCUUGAUAUUGUGAAAAUUAUUAAUAUCAAUAUUUAAAUGUUUCAGCAUAUAUGAGAACGUGUGUGGAAGACACAACAAAGGAUGCAAAAGGGAAACAGCUGCAAAGGAACCUUCUGCCGCUUCAAAGCGUCCCACAAAUACGAGGGAAUCAAAGAAAUAGAAACAUAAAACCUGAUACUAGCAAUACACCAAGGACCGCUGCACAAACAAAAAAACACUUAGGGAAGAAUAGAGAAACCUCCUUUGACUGGCUGUCCUCAGUUCCCAUAGUGAUGUGGGAGAGCACUUAACCUGCCGGCAGGGCGCUCCGCGGGGUUUCCACCUGAACACCGGGGCCUGUCACGAGAGGGAGGUCCAGAGGGGCUCCAAACAAAAGGCCACCGGCACGCAAGGCCGGGCACAAUCUGUCCACUUCUGCACUUACGCCAGAAGACAACCGAGACAGGCCGGGGAGGGUUUUCUGUUCCUUGAAGAGUGCCGAGCGACACCAGAGGUGUGCGGUCUGACCACGGCACUGGUUUCACAAUAUGGCAGCGCACACGAACACGCAGUCACCGAGUGGACCGACUGUUGAGUGAAGAAGAAGGGGGGAAAAAAGCAGGUGCCUCCGGAGGUAGAUAUACGAUUUUUCCUUUCUGUCCAUUGUGAGUAUGCUGGAGGAAUAUUUUGGUGAUGAAUCGUAGCCUGAGUCUAAAUGUAAAAACUCCUUUUUUCAGAUAUAAGCGAAGAGGCAAAGCAUGCGUCCCUGAAGGGAUGGUACUCGCACCGAGGCUGUCCUAGAAAGGCUUUAAUCUCAACAGGAAUGACUCAUUUCAUGGAAAGCAGAUAAUUGUAUUUUUAUAUAUUCAGCAGUCUGGUUUAGUUUUAGUGGAGGGUUGGGGCACUUUCACACGCAUCCAGAUACAAAGACAUCAUUUCAACACAGAGAAUAAGGAAGCUUGAAUGAAAGACUUCAGGAACACAUCCAGCCCUGUAGAUCUGAGGUGAGCGACUCAACCAAAUCAAACCGCCUCAUAGCAAGUCAAUCAACGCAACGGCAAAAGGCUGAAGUGACGGAAUCGCUGAGGGAUGGGUAGGUAAAAGCCCCCCCCGCCUCCCAACCCUCCUUCAGCAGAAGCCAGGAGUCUCCGGGGAGGCUUGACGAGGCUAUUCAAUCGCAGAGGCCGGCAACGGACAACGAGGAUCGGGUCCAGAGGAUGGAAAUAGAGAACAAUUAGAACAAAGCAGAUUACAGCACGUUACAGAGAAGGUUAUGGGAUUAUGGAGCCUCGUGCACUGUAUCCAGACAUAGACAUAUAUAUGUGUCUCUGGCACUGCCCCCCUGAGCUAUGACACCCUGCUCCCCCCCCCCACAAACGGGUUGAGUUAUUUAGCUAAUUAGUGACACGAUCUGACAAAAUUUCUACCAUGAAGCAUCAUUUCAUGAUGCAAAGUGCUGCAGUAUCGAAUGUGAUGUGUGAGGGGGCGACACGGGCCUUUUGGGCACCUCGCUGUGCGGCUCUCUGGUACCGAUGAAGAGGAGGCAGGUUGGCCACUUAAAUAUUUACGAGUACUACUAUAUGACUGACACUGGCAGUAAUAAUACACAGGAGACAUUCAGAGCAGCUGUAUCGAGUGUCACGGUUUCUAUAGAGGCAGUUAUUCAACAAAACAUAAAUGUGUCAUCUUAAAAAGGCAAAGACGGGGAAAACACACCCACAAGGUUAUGAAUGUGCUCAAAGACUUCUGAAAGAUUUGAUUAUUUUAAGUCUUGGUUAUGUGUAAACUCAACUGCUUUUUUUAGCGUGAACGCAGUGAAUCAGCGGCUGGUUCCUUUCCUGCAUUGUACCAUUAUGUCAUAUUUAGCUGUGGUGCCUGGAGGCGUUGUGGGCCCCGUGGCCAUGGGGGAGGCUCCCUGAUUGCCCCAGAGAGCCUCCACAGUUCCGCCGGUGUUCUUAAGCAGAUUUAUGGAAGGGAUUGCAGAGGCACUUUUGAAAGCACGAAGCGACGGCCGCGCUUUGUGAUUCCGACGGAGAGGAUUGAUCCCCCGCCGCGCCGGUUCUGCAGGGCAGCACAUCGGAGGUUGGACUGGGCCUCGAUAAGACGGAAAGGACUGUUGGCCAAGGAGAGUGUGGCCGGGGGGGUCGUAACUGUGCAGCAGAGUCUGAUUCAUCAACGUAUACAGUUGAGAUAAAGCGGAGAGCGGCGCGCCAGCUCGAUUAUCCGAUGGCUCCUGCUGCAUUAGAGGAGAUGACACGCUACGUCGUCUCCGAUGUGACCGCUGUGGCUUUUUUAUGGGGUUUCUUCGAGAUGAGGAGCUACCGAAAUUAUACUGCACUCUCUGUCACGGCUCACAAACUCGUAUUUACCACAAAAGAGUGUGAGGUAAAAUGUUCCACAGGCAGCUGGUUUGACCACCGUGGCUUUUUCUUCAAAAUAACUGAAAUAUAUUUUAUUGUUAUGUUUGAUAAUUAAAAUAGUUUGAUGCCAAAUGUGAACAUUGAGGAGAAAACUAUUUCCUUCAGUGUAUUUUUUCAAAUAUUUUCACAAUAUUUGUGCCAAUUCAAAAACCUAAAAAAUGCUUCUAAAAUAAGAAUAUUAUUGGCACAAUCGAAGAAUAGAAAAGGAAAUCGGAAUAAGAGAUAAUGCAGAUAACGUAACAAUGUGCAUGUUAACAAAUAGUAUCGUAUAAUAUGUAUAAGCUUAGCUAAUAGGAGACUUUUCUUCAUAAAUCUGCGGUUGGCGUGGACAAAUACAGGAAUGCAUUCAAACACACCACGUAAAGUCUCUCCUUUUAGAUGAGUGAUCUCAACGUUUGUGCCUCCAGCUUUCUGAAAAACAGACUCGGAGAUGGAAGAAGUGCUGAAGGUUGAAGAGAAGAGGAUUCUACCGUAUUAAAGCUCUGCACUACGGCUAGUAUUAGAGCCUCCACAGGCUUCCACACCAAACACAGUGGGGACCGUCAAAUCACAGCCCUGAAACCAACGCUUGUCCGUUGAAGGUCAUGGAGCGGAGAGUAUUUCUGCUCCAAAGACGGGCUCACUUGAAUAGAUGAAUCACAAAUGACUAAAGCGAAAGCUGGAUUCUUUCUUUUCUCCCUUUUGCCUGCUGAGGUGAACCCGUAAAGCUUGGGAAGAGACCUUUACAAAAACAAAGAACGAAAAGCUUAACCUGAGCUUCUCCUGAUAUGAUGUAUUGGGGUCUGCUUGACGUUACUGGUGAGAUUCAACACGUCCAUUUACAGUCUGCCUGAGUGAGUGAGCACACUGCGAGUUGUAGGAGGCUCCCUUGCAUUACACGCGUUUGUAUGUGUGCAGAAGCUGCUCAUUAGCUGCCCGUUCCACUGCUGCCAACGCUGCAAGCUGUCCUCCUGCUGACCUCCACCAACGAUUUGUUGAUCACAAAGUAAUGAGGGAUCCGUAUCCAUAUCCAAUGUUUGUUACUGAAUGUCAGCCCAUAACGCUGCUUUCAUAAUACAAAGGCUUCUACAAGGUAUUGAUUGACAGGUCUAACAAAAAGUGAGAGAAGAUCUGCAUUGGUCAAGCAUGGCCUGCUACAUUAAUACAAUACCUUGGUGGUGUGAUUAAAUCCUUCCCUCUUGCUGUGAGCACUGCAGCCUUUUCAUAAGGAAACCUCGCGUUCCGUCAUCUUUCCCUCCAAACCAAGGUGGUUUGGACAGAAGACCCCUUAAGCAGUCUCUCCCACUAAACACUCUCCCGGUAAACAUCUUCUAAAAAAAACUCCCACUGCUCCGCGUAAUUGUGUAGAGGAGAUAAUCCCAUUCUAUUUGUGUUAAUGUACUCCCCAAGAACCUAAAUCAUUUGACAACUGAGCAAAUACGUUUUGCACAAGGGCUACGCUAAUUGAAGUCCAAGCAACUCCGCGUGAGGCGUACCAAUCAUAAAAAACAACAACAUCAUGAACAACUGCAUGAAUAUUCAAGCUCAGCCAGGACAGGAGUACAUGUCAUCUUAAUAAUUGCUGCACGAAAGCGUCGCGACCAGCACACCAAUGGUCCCCAAUCCCAGCAGCUCGUUAUUGGAGAGAAGCCCAGUGGAGCUCGUUAGAGGAUGAGGGGAGACACGGUAAAUAAGGUUAAUUGGCCGAUCUGUCAGACCCAGGAAGAUGCUCACGCUGACACGAAACAACCGGAACAUGAUUUCACCCUUUGCUCCCGUGGCCACCCUCCCUUGUUUCCCUUCAUUAGCACGGAGGGUGUGACGCGCUAGCUGUCGUGCUGUAGGUAGUAGUCAAGGUGUGCUGUGUUCAAAUCUGCAGGUGAUAUAAUGGAGACAUCCACCAGUGGGUUUAAACCUCUUUUUGUGUUUGGUCAAAUAGCAGGCUGUCACAUGCACUUCAAUGAUUGUUACUUCAUGUCCUUCUAGGGUGUUUAGCAUGAACGACACAGCUGUCAAAUAUAACCGGUAAUAAUACAACUGUUUACAAUGUUUUUGCAAGCACUCAUUGUGUCUGUGGGUCACGGAAAGACCGUGAUUCUCACGAGAGAUGAAUAAAAUGUGCCGUCUCGCUUGCAUUAGGGUGGUGGUGUCAAAAAGUGAAAAGACAAAAAGCACUUGAAAGCCCCGGCGUCAUGGAGACGCGCAUGGGAGAAGAGGACAGGACAGCAAUGCUCCUUCUGCUUUUGUACACAGGACGUCAGCAGCUCUCCUCCCGGCUCCCUUUUGUUUUUUGUGCAAUCACUGUUAUAUCGUUGUGCUAUUUGAAGGCCAUUGUUUUGAUUGUCCUCUUAAGCCGUCACAUUUUUCGGUGGCCCUUGUCUACAAAAGACAGUUAAUUAAAAGGUCUUAUCUUGUGGGAAAUGUAUCCGUCAUCGCCUUUGCUGAACCAAUCACGACCCGGCAAGGAAAAAAAAAAAAAGGACUUCGGAAAGGAUGCUUCGCCUCGUGUGUCUUGAUUAUCUGGAAACUGCUCCACCAAGAUGGUGAUUGCACAGAAUUCGCAGAGAAAAUUGUCCAUCGUGGACUGCUGCUGAUAGGAGGGGGGAAGAGAAAUCAUUUGAGAUUAUCGUCUCUUAAACUGAACAUGGACAUUGGACAGAUGGUAACAGGGGCAUGAAAGAAUAUUCAAAAAACUGGAAAAAAGGUGUUCUAUAACCAUAAGUAUAACUAUAUUAAAAACUGUUCCUAGCACUCCCAACGACUGGGAUGUUCCUGAUGUUCAUCCCAGAUGAUGAUCUGGUCUACAGGUCCAGUCGUAAACGCUCCAUUGCCUCUGAGUCUCUCUAGCCAUUCCCUCAUCCAGACUAAACCAUGACAGAGAUUACUUGAGGUCCUGCGUUGCUCCGUCUUGAAAGAGAUUCCUUAAAGAAAUCCUUUUGGAUUUUCCAAUAUGCAUGUAUGUUUCAGAUCUGAAAGAAGAACAUCUGUGGAGCGUCUCGUUUGGUGCGUGAUGCAACCCCGGUAUCAAAUCGACAGAGAAAAUAGUCCCUGUCCUGAUUGAAACCACAUAUAUGCUCUCAAAUGACACGCUGGAACUUAUACCAUGUAAACCGUUUCCGAGAGUAGAAACUCUUUCCGAGUCUCUUUCCGAUUUCCCCGAGUCUCGUAGAAGAAUUAAAACAGGUAUUGGUUCUCGUUUUACCUUCCAUGGGUAUGAGGUGGACCUUUCCUCAUUAGCCGAUGUGCCUUUGAUGUUAAUGUAUGCUGCCGGAUCUCCUUGUCUCCACUGAGCCAAAGUAAUGGAUUUUGAACUCGCGAUCAAAGCCCCCUCAAGAGUUCCUCCUCUCGCCUUCUAGCGUGUAAUCCUUCUGCAUUUAAGCAGUCCAUGUUGAACAAACCACUUGGUGGAAUCCUAAACGCUGUGCUUUGGUCUGCGACCUCCAGAAACCUGCUUUGGGAACGAUAUUGGAAGUAUCAUUCUUAUAUCAACUGUCAGGUGGUCGCUGCAAUGGACAAUGGAUGUAUUAACCCGUGUUCACUGUGAUCCACACACAGAUACUUUGACCUGUCAUGUUCUCUGGAGGCCGACCUCAAAAUGAUGAGUCCCUGAUGAACACCAAGUAGAACAACAUCAGCCCCAUUAUGUUGCAUAGAAAUGAUGAAUCAAGCUAAACAUCCCUCAUGCCGGAUUCCAAUCUAAAUCGUGCCUUUAUCAAGCGAGUGCCUUCCUUAAUAAACACUUGUUUUGAGAAGUGGUACUUGAGUGUGACCUUGGGUGGUGAUGUAAUCGUCGAUCCUUAUAUUUAUGCACCCAUCUCUCGACCGUGAGCCAGUUUAUCCAAAGCAUGUUCAAAGGACUUUACCGUCACCUGAUGGGAUGGGAGGAACAAAGACGCGUGAAAUAGACCCCCGUUUAAUCUCUAGUGGAUUGAGGGGCAUUCAUCAAUACGGCUAUUAUAGCACCAAGCAAGAGCUGCGAGACCGAUAACAAAUCAAUAGUUGGCCAGACCUUCACUGAAUACUUUGGCUGUCAGUUUGAAUGUUUGCCUCCAAGCACUUGAAAAGCAAACUAAACAAACCAUGAAAAGUCAUUUUGCUUAUUAAUUAUUUGAGCUGAUAUCAGGACUGGAGACAAAUCGCAGCUAAUGCCAAGACUUCUUUAAAACACAGAGUGAUAUAGUGACUUAGAGCUCCAUUAACUUGCACGAUAAUUAAUUUGUAUUCUGAAUAUAAAGUUCUAAUGAAUGGAUAAAAUACAUUGUGAAGCCACUGGAUGAGCAGCGGCAGCGCCGUGCGAGCCGAGUCGUGCUGAGUCACAGAAAUGACAGACGGGGAGUGACGAUCCGUCAGCACGCUGCGUCGACAGUGGUCUUCUGUUUAUAAAGGUCACGUUUAGAAGAUGGAAAAGGUCCUGCUCCUUCGCUGAGUGGGAGACGGUCAAGGUCACCGAGUAGAUGGAUCUGCCUCCGUCCUCGUCGAGGCCACGUUCCUUUUCACUUCCGUUCCACGUAAUACACAAUGCUGCAUGGGAGUGAUGAGUACUCUGGUCCACUCAGACGAAAACUGUUAAAGAUGAGGUAGAAUGUGUUGAGAGUCACCUCCAAACUGUCACAGAUGCUUCAAUCUCAUCUGAACUGAACAGAAUCAGUUCCAUAUUACAACAUUCUGAAAUAAUCAAACGCUGAAUUCACACGAACAAGCGGCUGCUUGCGGCAGCAGACGGGCGAAGCCUCAAAAGUGUCACGUCAUCCCGGGCCGGUGCUCCUCCUCCAGCGCCGGCCUCUCCGAACCGCUGGAAGAAAGCGCCGGCUCCCGGCGGAUGCUGCCACUGUUUUCCAGUCGGCCUAAAAUGGAACGCCGUGGUGCUAUUCAUCACAUCCUGCUCAAUUAUGAAUGUCUGAAAACGUGAACGCGCCGCAGUGAUACAUUUGCGGGCGACAGGAGGAGAAAGAGCCGUGCUCGGAAAGCCGCAGCCAGCCAUGACACCGGCAGAACUUCAGGAAGGAUUGUUGGAGAGAAAAUCCUUUCUCACGUUGAAAAAGAUUCUCUGCCUUCACGAUAAAUCUGAAUCCCACACGCUAAAGUAUGACAUUGAUUCUACAGCGGGUGCUUUAUAUGCAACAAUACCGUGAAACAUUGCUGAGCUGGUGGGCGUGAGUAAUAACGCCUUUUUAAAAGACGAUGCAUUACGGCACAUGCAGCGCUCUGGUUCACUUUCUUUUUUGAUGAUUUAGAAUACGGCUAAAUAAUCAUGGCAGAUUUAUUAUUCCAGUCAUUGUCCUCUGGUAAUAACAGUGGCUCAGCCGAAGCCAUUGGGGCUCCCAGACUUAAUUACCCGAGCGCUCGUUGUCUGAGGAAGCUCAAUGGAAGAUCUAAAGCAGCCUUAGAUGUGUCCGAUCUGAUCUUCUAACUGUGAUGGGAUCCCACUUCCUUUAUGGCUCUAAUUACUGAAAUUAGAUCUCCAGCAGAGGUCUACGGCGUGGAGCGGCAAUAGGCGGGCCCUUUAUCUCUGCGACCGUCCUUUUGUUCCGUCUCACAAGCCAUGUUUUAUUUUGGGGAGACGCCUAUUUCCUGGUGCGAAACAACGGCUGCUCCUGGGCUGCAGCGCAUGGCGUCCAGCGGUGAAUCACAGCGGAGGAAUGUGUUAUUUCGUGUGGUCUGUAUUCUAUUAUUGAUAUCGUUCCUGUGAGAAAUAUUUGGCCCUAACUGGCUCCUAUUUCCAAUAUGAAUAAUAAGGAGCAGGCCGGGCCCUGGGGCAUUAAUGGUGGCACUAGUCCUUGACCUGAGAGAGAGAAACCUUGGUAUAAACUCAAUCACAUGGUCUCGUUAUGGCACAGUUACAUAAUUAGAACCAGAAAUCUCCGGCUUCAGACUAGAUUCAGCCUCGGAGGUGAAGCGUUUUAAUGAGAUACUCCGAGGGCCAAUCAGGAGCGUGCUCCCUGCUGACUUAAGGGGUGACACAAUUUGCAUGCCAACAUUUUAUUUAAAAAAGGUUUUUAAAUAAUGCCAGCUGUUUAUUGGCCACUAAUUUGUGUUUUUAAAUGAGAUCAAAUCAGAGCUAGACUGCAACAUCGCACACAGAGUCUAGGCGUAUUUUCUUUUAGUGGUUAUUAUGCACAGUACCAAAAAGUCCAGAACGAACCUCAGGAACCAACCAGCUGUGUAGAAAAGCUCAUUUUGCACCAGCUGAAUGAAGAGAUUUACAAGGAAAUGUGCCAUCUGUACUUGAGAAAAGAUCUACCAGCUUUGCCUUCAGCCAACAAUGGUUGUCAAUCUUUGGAAAGCUGUUGCAAAGAUGGUUGAUUUUUUUGAGGAUAGUGGAACAUGGUUAUAGUAGUUAUAACAGUGUAGCAUACAUGUUCCAGUUACAUUUGUAUACUUGUAAGUUCUAUUCCUGAAUGAAUAGGAAUCCCAAGCCUUGACAAUCCAUCUUAAAUGUUGAUCCGUCUUCCAAAGAUGGCUUUUCCUCUCCAAAAUGAGGGCGAAAGACCAUCUCAUUGUUUAAUAUUUGAUUAAACGAUGCUUUCAGCUGCCCAUUAACUCCCUGAGCUGCUGUGCAGAGUUCCUUGUUCACGGACACACAUGAUUCAGCUAAAGUCUUGGCAGGGAGUCAGUUAAAUGCUCUCAGCAUAGAUUUUUAUUUAUAUUAUCUAGAGGCAUGUUUAGAGCACACAGUUUUAUUCCAUCUCCUAAUCCCCCUUUUCGUCUUGCUAUUUGGAGAAGUCACAAUGGCAAAUAACCACUGGGAGUCUUGUGGGAAUGAGUUUUAAGUUUUUUUCUUUUCCCAAGAGACCAGAAUUAGGCCGUUCAUCAUGAGGAAGAAAGACCUCCAUAGCAGUGAGAGCAAAUGACCUCUAAAAUGUGAGGUUUUACUGGUACAAUCCGCACAUAUAACCCUCUAGAACCAUGUUGAGACCUCGAGCUAUACCUCUGUCUUCUUUACCUAAUAACGACAUGAGAGGAAAUAACCCCCAAGAGAGAAAAUGCAUUUGGCUCAGCAGUUGGAACGUGAAGCAGAGAAAGCUUUAAUUGUAGUUUGGAGCUGUGCGUAGUGAAAUUGUAAAUACUGGAAGUACGCAGCGAGCAAAUACACAUGACUGUUCUAUCAAUCAUGUGGCUUUUCAACAGCAGCCUUCUCGGGACAACUUAUUGCUUCCUCAUGCUUUCUUUUAGCAUAACUAAAACAACAAAAUGUAUUUAUUCAGCUAUUUAUUAGUUUGUGGGGAAAAGUACAUUUUCAAUAAAAAAGGUAUUACUGAUAUAUGUUUAUCAUACACCACAGCUGACUUAUCAUUCUAAAUGUCUCCCACAGUGGAAGACUUUGGAGAAUUGAUGGUAUCAAUAUCAAGAGGAGUUUUUUUCGUCCUUCCCUCUGGGAUUGAGUCAGUACUAUUUUCUCCUGAGAAAAGCCAGUAGGUAUGAAAUCAAAGUCUCCCUGUUGUAGAGCUAUAUGAAGGAAUAACAUGUCUGUUGCCCCAAGCUAAGUUAUGCCUUGUUGCUUCUUUCAUCCAAGCUCCUUUGGUUGACUUUAGAUGAAAAUAAAAUGAGUAAUUUGGGUUUUUCUGUGGACACGUUUAAAGGAUCAAUGAGAUGAAAUGCUCAUAUCAUGCUCACAUCAUGCCGCAUGCCUAAAUCCUGCAGAGACACGUUUGUCAUGUGGCGAGAAAAGGAAAACGGGGUGACCGCGGCGGAUGGAGUCGAGAGGGUGUGCCAGGAACCGCAGGGUUGGCGGGUGGAACCCCGGCUGCUCCAAGUGUCCCUGAGCAAGACGCCUAACCGCUAACUGCUCCCCGGGUAAAACGUAAAAAUGCAAUGUAAGUCACUGUAAAAUAAAAGCGUCAGCUAAAUGACACGUAACUGGAUCUAAUUGAAGGGAGCAAUCCCACAAUGUUUUGGCUGAAGACUCCAAAGGCAUCUGGCACAAGCUGAAUCCUUUCUUUCAAUAUCAUUAGAAAUGAACAACCACUCAAGUUGAUUGAUUUUAGAGCAAUCUGCUGCUAAGAGCAAAAAAAGGGGGGGCCAAAGGAUUCAUGGUCGAGACUGUGCGCGACACACAUUAAUAAGCAAUGAAAACCAAAAGCGGAGUUUCACCACCUUGUGAUCAAAACUUGGACCAAGAAAGAAGCAAUCACAAACAGUGCGAUGCAGCCAGAGCCCUCGGAAACCAGCCAGCAACAAAUACCAGCACGCUCGUCUCAUUUCCCCACUGCAGCAAAAACAGCAGGCCCAGUGACAGCAGGGAGAAAAUAGCAGUUAGAAAAGAGGAAGAGCAGGUGGGCCUCCGCUAAAAGGAGCAGUCAAACCUGCGUUUGGUUAACUGUGGGGUGUGAAGCCUGCCAGGCCAUGCACGCCUUCCCCAUAGACGUCCAUGGCCACAGUGGAGAUGGUAGGGACUCACAGCAGAAUACUUUGUGACAGCAGAAUAAGGGGAGGUAAGAUUCAUUGUGCAGACAAACAAAUAAUAAUGCAGACGUUUUAGGACUUCUUAAAUGACACGUUUUCAGAAACUAGUUCAUUUAAAAUGAAAUUAAUUUCUCCCCAAACAUGUAAUUUAAGUAAUUUGCUUUCUCCGACAACAUUUUACUUUUUCGCUGUCUAUUAUUUUUUUUCAAGAAACAAAACUUUUGGAAUCCACAAAACAAGCACAUGUGUGAUAACCACGUUAAUCCUGCCGUCUGAGGAAGUUUAAACUCACGUAUUUUGUGACUUCUGAGUGUCCGUGACACAACAGGGCCACAGGAAACGCCCCGUCCCUUCAAACUCUGCUUCUUCCACUCAAACUUCACUUUGAAGUCCAGUCAGGGGAUCAAGCUGAACAUUUUAAGUAGUUAAUCCCUCGUUUUUAGUCCAACGCACAGUAUCCGCUUAAUAUUUACCGCAGAGGUUUCUAAUUGUCCUCUUUACUGGUUCACACUGGAAGUACCACACUGAUAUUUGAUGUGACCACCAGAGAGACGUAUGGUGCAUGUGGAGAAAUUGGGGAAUGGUGGAAAAUGCUGUGAAAUGAUAGAAUUAGCAUACCUUUGAAAUGAAAAAAAUAGAAUCCCUUUUUUAGCAACUGCGAGGUCAUGGUGGUAGUUUAAUUAAAUUUGCUGUCCAUAAAGUUUUUGAGGAACAUUAUGCAAAUUAGAAUUUAAUUAUUGCCCAUUCGGAAUGUCAUCAAAGUGCUCGUCUAAAAAGGGGAUAGAAUUCCUACAGCCGUCCUGAUUUGAUUUCACCGACCCUGCAUUUCCUCCCACGAAGAAGGAAAAAAUAAAAAAAAAGUAGAUGAAUUGAACUAGUUACGGUCCAAAACUACUGUGAAAACUUUUUCCAAGAUAUUGCCGUCUUGUCUUCCAAAAAUAACUAUAAGUGACUUUAACACCCACUGGUUUGCUAAGCUGCAAAGACUGACAUCAGCUUCGAUGUGUUCAUUAGCGCUUAGACACAUUUCCAAAUGUUAGGUCAUUAAAAAUAAUAACACAUGCAGGUAAACUUUGCAUCGCACUGCAUAUAUUACGCUAAGAAAUCAGAAUUGUUACAUCUGAAUAUAUAUAUAUAUAUAUAUUCAGAAAAACAUUUAUGUCGGGCAUUUUGUAGUUUUGCAUUCAUAUGUUUGACUCGUAUUCUAAAUGCUGGUUUGUUUCAUCACACUACAGACCUGUCGGCACAUUUUCAGCAUUUAGAGCCCUCAACCUUCAGCCGAUUUGAGGCCCGUGGAAGCGUCUCACGGGUGAAAUUAUGCUGGUCAAAAGGGCCCUGAUUAUGAUUGCACACUUAGAAAAUCAAAUAUUGGCUGAAGCUUCCAUCCUAGUUGAAGGUGAUGACACAUCCUGGGACCUUAAUCAAAUAUUGAUUGUGUACAGUAGCGAAGGCGAAACUGCUGAGAAAAUCCCAAAUCUUUAGCGGGGAAUCUGCGGGGAGGCAGCCCUCCAUUAUUGAAUUGACCUGUCUUGACUGAGAUCAGCUCUCCGGUGACGCUCCGACGGGUCCUCUUAGAAAGAGGCUGCCAGUGGAAGCAAGGACAACUUUUUAUUCCAUUCAUUAGCGGCUCGCGCUGAAAGCAGAAUCCGUCGCUGUGAGGACCACGGACCUGGAACAGGUCCUGAAGGCUUCCGUCAGCCAAGACGAUGCUUCAGCUGAAUAAAAUGCAUCUCUGAAGCUUCAGAAGGCGUUGGUGAACAUUUAGAAAAACACCUAUCCACUUCAUAAUAUAAGUACUAAUACUAGUAAGUAUUAGGGACAGUUUUCCUAAGAUGUGUCUAUGCAGAGGGCCAAUAUUCUUUCUGUGUCAACGGCGUUUAAACUUUGUCUUUGUCACUUACUUGGCGUGUUUGAAGCGUUUUUUGGCAAAGAGCAUGAGCCUAGAUGUGGUUUCUGUGUCUAUGAACACAUUGGUAUGCCACAGAAAUGGAUCAACAGCAGGAAGCCUUGAGCGGCCGUUCUCACGAGGCCUUCAUUAUGUGGAGACCUGCGGUAAUUAAUGAACGAACAACCACCUUUGCGCUUCGUGAAUUAUGUGGCGAGAAAAAGGGAAUCCACCAAAACCACCGAUGUUUGGCCUCGAUGCAGCAGAUCAACAUUUGUUUCCGUGUGAUUUACAACAAAAAAAGUCACAAUUUCCAUGAAUAAUGCAUCACUUGAGCAUACAUUCUUUUAUACCAGGGGACAAAGAGAAGCAGCAGGUCUACAACUGAAAGGAAAAUAAUACGUUACACUCCAAAGAUAGAACAUAAUUAUGUCAAGAAUGAAGUCUCCUCCACAAUACAUAUAUUCCAAACAGAGGGGGCUUUCAAUUUAAAACUGCAAUGUUAGAAUCAGAAGUCCCCCAGUGUGUUUUGUUUACUCUCCUUGCAGUCACGGCUGGACGGGUGCAGAGAAGGAAGAGGUGGCAUUCCCGUAAUUAACACAAAAUCAAUUUAAUGUGUGGGAUUUUGGAUAAUUUUUUUGUCAACUUGUCAAUGGAAACAAAAGGUCAAGAGAAAGCCAAUAAAAGUCCAUAUGUCUUCAGGACGUUGGAUGUUUUGGAUGAAUCUGUCACACACAGUUUCACAAAGUUUGUCCCUGUAGAUAUUACUUUUUUAGUAAUAUACACCGGCUGCCAAUCCAAACCAACUGCCAAUCCAAUUUCGAUAUGGUGGGAGAAGUAAAGAAAAACAUGGAAUGUCUUCAGGAAAAGGAAGUCACCGCUGGCUCUUCUUACAGUUUAUGAAAAACCCUUUCCCAAAAGGCUUCGACGUCCACCCUGCACUUCCUGUGAACUGAGCCCUAAAAGAAGUAAACGCAUGAAACAGAUAAAUAAGUAAACGCAGACUCACAUUUAUAUUCUCUGUCUGUACAAACCCGCCUCCUCCCACAUUGUUGGGACCAGCUUCAAACAAGGUGAAAAGAUACAUCUCUUCAAGACUUCAAAAGUGCAUUUGAUAUCUCAAGCUGGACAUUUGGCACAUUAAUAAUUGACCGUGUGAUUUUAUUAUUUAAAAAUGAACGGAUGUGCCUUCUUCCAGGACUGUUUCCCUUUUUCAUCGUCUCCGGGUCCAACAGACGGCAACACGCGAGAACUAAAGGGGAAGCUGCCACUCUGCUAUACGCUGCUGCUAAGAGGACCACAAUGCAUCUGGUCCCCUCUACCAUGGUGGUGGGAGGUGAUCAAAGGGCUGUGAUGGUAAAUUACCCCCCUCCUGCCUCCUCUGCACCAAUGCAGGAGGACGGGACACAGCUGCCCUGUGUCACUCAUGCGAUGAGUGCAUCGGUCGCAAUAAAGAGCCAAAAUACUGAAGUGAAAGCUUCCACUAUUUGUCUCCUAGUUGCAGAUCAUCACAUCGCCUUGGAAACGCAGCCAGCAAUGGGCAGCAGGAACCUUUUUGUUAAUUGACAGUGACUAACAUUCCCAUUGCUGUGCUGCAGAGGAGCUCUGAACAACACGCUGGAUUCCGUCGAGAAGGCGAGUGACUCCGAGCCGUUUUCCGGGGAGCAGCGAGUGCUGCGCCGGACCGCCAGAGGUGAAAAUGGAUGGAACGGAGUGUGGGACUGCACUUCCCUGCAGGAGAACAUUAAUCUCUGAACAUCUGCGCUGAAUGAAACAGGACCUAUCAAAUAUGUAUUAGACUCACUGUGUGUUGUUUGGGAUUCAUUUACUUUACAGAUUGUGCCUGAACAUAUUUGUUUGGAGGUAUUUGUUUUAUUUGGAUUCUUUUCACGGUGGUACAUGAUCUCCGAGGGCAGAUCUCAUCUUUCUUGUCUCCUUUCACCUGGACUUUAGUAUUAUUGAUUUAUUUUCCAUCUGAUUAGACGCUCUCUCCGUUUGCUGGAGGAGCCGGUAGAUUGCCCCGUUGGCCGCUUCCCCUCAAAAGCACCACAUAAAUUAACCAUGAGUGGAGUGGUUUUGAUUAGAGGAGCAACACAAUCAACCGGCAAAAAGCUGGGAGAAAAAGUCACCAGAGAUUUGCACCAAACCCCCCACUGAACUAUGGAGACUGCAGAGAGGUGGAGCCUGCAGCUCGGAGCACAAUGAACCGGCAUCAGGGGAGCUUCAUGUGUGUGCUUCGUGAUACAUAUUCACUUCAGGGUGGUGGGCUUUUUUGAGUAAAACCAAGCCAAUCAAACGUUCUCAAACAUGUUGUUCUCAUUUUUUUCAGCUCCAAUAAAUAUGUCCAAUGCUGCAUUUUUAAAGUGUGAUAGAAAACCUAAUAUUUCUGUAGAAAUCCUUAUACACGGCCCCAUUCAAUUAGCUGAGAUAAAUAAAAACAACAGGCCGUCGUGGUUAUUACUGUGCAUCUGCAUUUGCUUCUCCCCUCCGUAAUGCAAUGGGACUCCUCUCCUGUCUGAAAUGUGUUCCAUUACCACGGUUCCUCACACUUCUGAAGUAACACAUUGUGGCCUCGCUGACGGAGACCAAUUAGUGAGCGUGAGGGGGUGAACAGCUUGAGGACCUGAGGCUGCCAACACGGCUAUUUAGUGCCUGUUGGAGGAAACCAUUUGAUAAUGACUCAACGCCGCCACGAGCUCAGCCCUCUAAUGACCGGACCCCUCGUUGGGAACGCCGCACCUGUUCACGGGAGCUCGCAGAAAGGUCGGCGCUCCGCUGCUGCGCCGCGACGCCCACCGCUCAAAAGGUGUUGCACUUAACGGGCCCCCCAGCCGUGGCUGUGGACGCUUCCUAGAAGAACUCAGCAUCCACGUUCGUUUGUCUUCGGGUCGGCCGGAAUGGGCGGACACACGCAGAUUCAAAUCUCUCGGGAGAUCUCGCCCGCAGAAAGAAUGAAAAAACGUCAUUUCCUUUGGUAGGAGAGAAAAAAAGUUGAAGAUGUCCUUUGCGUGUAAUAAGAUCACACAGAGUAUUUUCUCAAAGAGCCUGAACAUCCAGAGCUUGUUUCCCUCUUACUACGAUACACAAAUGUGUGUCAGUGGGAAAGUACUGUGAAAGAUGCUCACAGCCGAGGACCACAUCAAAUGAUAUCCCACUAUUAGCGAACACAUUCAGAGGCAACACAAAGUCCCUGUAGCCUCUGGUGGAGAUUACAGAAAGAAAUGGGGGGCAUUUCUAGCAAAGCACCCACACCAUCCGUGGUAUUUUUGUUUUUUAUUUAAUUUUUCUGAUUUCCCUGCAGGAAUGAUGGAAGAAUAUCCUUUUUUCUAUUUGCCACACAUGCUGACCACUGAUAAACAGUGUGUGUCUAAUAGAUUGGACGAAUCAGUCGGCCUUCUGAGCGAAUCAAGCCACACGACGACAUGCUUCCCAUCGAGUUUGGGGGGAAAAUAUGUUUUGGGACGAGGUUUUAAUUUGUUCAGACGGAUGUGGCUCAAAUAAAAAAAAGCUGGCAGCGGAAGAACCAGCGGCAUGUACUUUAUAAGUUCUACUGCUGGAAUAAAGCAGGUGAUACGAGUUCUGAUUCCCUAAACCUCAGGGCCCAUUGUUACGAAUAUUCUUUUGUCCCUGGUGGAAACAGCUGAAUGAGAAGGUGGAGGCGGUCAUCCGCUCGUACUGGCGUCAUCGUUUAAAGAAGUCGGUGUCCUCCGCUCUCGUUAUCUGUUUCUCCCCGUGUGUGCAUGCUAACACAUCCAGCUGAAUAUUAAUAGACGCCCUGCUUGCCAAGUUUGGCGGAUGCAGCAGUGCUACAACAGCAUCAUUCUGGCUUUAAUGACUCGGUGCCAAAAUGAAUUAGACUGACAGCAAUUUAUUGACCCAAUUUUGAAACAGAAUUGCUGGAAUCAUCUUCAGUAACAAAUUGGGCGCUAGCUGCUGCAGAGCUACCUCGUGGGUCUGGUGUAUGAAAGGUAAUAAAUAAUGUGCGGGGAUUAUUUAAAAGUUCAGUCGAGCUGAACGAGGACAAAUAUUUUUUAAUGUUUCUACUGUCUCAACAGAAAAACUGAAUUUUUAUUGUGAUAUUUAUUGCACAUUAAAUACCAUACAGCCAGAAAUGAAACAAAACGUGCGUCAUUAGCAGGACGUUUAGGACGCAGCUUCCUGGACAUAAUGCAUUAAAUAGAUAUUUGAAUAACUCAAGCGUGGUAUAUGCUCUCAUAGUGUGACAGCUGGCCAAGUGAUUGUCACUGCUACUGAGCCAUUCAUGUCUUCUUAUCUUCGACUUUCUUGACUUCACAUGAGGAAAACCUCUUACAUCUUUGCAUGCAAUAUAUGCUGAACUUAUUUUAAGUCUACUUUAUUCAUAUUACUACAACACUAGACCCAACCGGAGCCUGGAGCUUUAAUGUUGUACUUUGGCUGAACGCUGAAGCAUCCGCUCAAUGUCAGUCAAUGCAAACACGCUCACAAACAACACUUUGGCAGUCCUGCUGAAUUUGCCUUGUUCAGGCACGUGAUAGAAUAUCACUGGCAGCGCGGGAGGACAAAUUGUGUUUAAACACAUCUGUUGAUUGGCCACACCGUGGGAAUUCAGAGAAUAAUAACCCAGUGUGUGUGUGCG